ensembl:miRNA mdo-mir-7307 mdo-mir-7307
AGUUCAGAUUGCCCUCUGGGGAUGAAAAACAUCUAAGAAACCCAAAUGGUCAUUUCUGAGCUUU